CGAAGCUGGAAUCGCUAGUAAUCGCGAAUCAGAAUGUCGCGGUGAAUACGUUCCCGGGUCCUUGUACACACCGCCCGUCACACCAUGGGAGUCGGGAAUGCCCGAAGUCAGUGACCCAACCUAUUGGAGGGAGCUGCCGAAGGCAGGUCUGAUAACUGGGGUGAAGUCGUAACAAGGUAGC
rnacentral:rRNA from 1 species